GACGUAGGGCGCGAGCGUUGUCCGGAUUUAUUGGGCGUAAAGAGCUCGUAGGCGGCUUGUCGCGUCGACUGUGAAAACCCGGAGCUCAACUCCGGGCCUGCAGUCGAUACGGGCGGACUUGAGUGUUGCAGGGGAGACUGGAAUUCCUGGUGUAGCGGUGAAAUGCGCAGAUAUCAGGAGGAACACCGAUGGCGAAGGCAGGUCUCUGGGCAUUAACUGACGCUGAGGAGCGAAAGCAUGGGGAGCGAACAGG
rnacentral:rRNA from 1 species